UUAUAUAAGUGUAAAUAAAUCAAAUCGGAGAAAGUAAUAAAAUUAUAUUAAAUUAAAAUCAAUUUUGCUAAAUAAAGUAUUUUAGUAUUUUAGUAUUACCAACCUUGGAAAAUGUAUUCAGCACAGUGAAGACACUUUUUAUUCAACGACAGUGCACUCAUAUGGAAGAUAUUAAAUUCUAUGGUUCGAUAUGAAAACUUAGUGAGCAUGAAGUGAGAUAGAGAAGAGUAUAAUGUUUGGAUUCAAAAAGGUGUCUUAUGUGUAUCUAUCGGUAUGUUUUACCAUCAUUGGAUGAAGUAGACAUUACCAACAGAAAAGUAGAAUUUCUUUACCAAUCAGGAACGAAGCGAGUGGAAAAUUGUGGAAAAGGAAAGAAAAAGAGAGAGACUGAGAGACUGAGAGAUAGAGAGGGAUAGAGUAUAUACGUCAAAGGAGACCGAAAAAGGAUUCUCUCUUCUCCCACGUUUACGUAUAACCAUGUACGAAGUUCUUGUGAUAUUGCCUUUGGCUACAGAGAAACGAAUUAAUUCGAGAUGUUAAUUUACAGGAGUGGUAACAAUCGUGGAAUUCCUUUGCAUUCAUUGAAGGAGAAUUAAGAUUAUCACAGUGGACAGUUAAGGGUUUCAAUAUGGAAACGAAAAAUAAAGAUGAUUGCGACCAACGAAAAAUUUUUUUA